GUGGGCAUGGCUCAGUGGUAGAGCUCAUGCUUAGCACGCAUGAGGUCCUGGGUUCAAUCCCCAGUCCCUCUG
rnacentral:tRNA from 1 species